rnacentral:tRNA from 1 species
GCCGGGAUGGCGGAACUGGUAGACGCGCCGGAUUCAAAAUCCGGUUCUCGAAAGAGAGUGGGGGUUCGAUUCCCCCUCCCGGCACCA